AACCGACUAAUGUUGAAAAAUUAGCGGAUGACUUGUGGCUGGGGGUGAAAGGCCAAUCAAACCGGGAGAUAGCUGGUUCUCCCCGAAAGCUAUUUAGGUAGCGCCUCGUGAAUUCAUCUCCGGGGGUAGAGCACUGUUUCGGCAAGGGGGUCAUCCCGACUUACCAACCCGAUGCAAACUGCGAAUACCGGAGAAUGUUAUCACGGGAGACACACGGCGGGUGCUAACGUCCGUCGUGAAGAGGGAAACAACCCAGACCGCCAGCUAAGGUCCCAAAGUCAUGGUUAAGUGGGAAACGAUGUGGGAAGGCCCAGACAGCCAGGAUGUUGGCUUAGAAGCAGCCAUCAUUUAAAGAAAGCGUAAUAGCUCACUGGUCGAGUCGGCCUGCGCGGAAGAUGUAACGGGGCUAAACCAUGCACCGAAGCUGCGGCAGCGACGCUUAUGCGUUGUUGGGUAGGGGAGCGUUCUGUAAGCCUGUGAAGGUGUACUGUGAGGUAUGCUGGAGGUAUCAGAAGUGCGAAUGCUGACAUAAGUAACGAUAAAGCGGGUGAAAAGCCCGCUCGCCGGAAGACCAAGGGUUCCUGUCCAACGUUAAUCGGGGCAGGGUGAGUCGACCCCUAAGGCGAGGCCGAAAGGCGUAGUCGAUGGGAAACAGGUUAAUAUUCCUGUACUUGGUGUUACUGCGAAGGGGGGACGGAGAAGGCUAUGUUGGCCGGGCGACGGUUGUCCCGGUUUAAGCGUGUAGGCUGGUUUUCCAGGCAAAUCCGGAAAAUCAAGGCUGAGGCGUGAUGACGAGGCACUACGGUGCUGAAGCAACAAAUGCCCUGCUUCCAGGAAAAGCCUCUAAGCAUCAGGUAACAUCAAAUCGUACCCCAAACCGACACAGGUGGUCAGGUAGAGAAUACCAAGGCGCUUGAGAGAACUCGGGUGAAGGAACUAGGCAAAAUGGUGCCGUAACUUCGGGAGAAGGCACGCUGAUAUGUAGGUGAAGCGACUUGCUCGUGGAGCUGAAAUCAGUCGAAGAUACCAGCUGGCUGCAACUGUUUAUUAAAAACACAGCACUGUGCAAACACGAAAGUGGACGUAUACGGUGUGACGCCUGCCCGGUGCCGGAAGGUUAAUUGAUGGGGUUAGCGGUAACGCGAAGCUCUUGAUCGAAGCCCCGGUAAACGGCGGCCGUAACUAUAACGGUCCUAAGGUAGCGAAAUUCCUUGUCGGGUAAGUUCCGACCUGCACGAAUGGCGUAAUGAUGGCCAGGCUGUCUCCACCCGAGACUCAGUGAAAUUGAACUCGCUGUGAAGAUGCAGUGUACCCGCGGCAAGACGGAAAGACCCCGUGAACCUUUACUAUAGCUUGACACUGAACAUUGAGCCUUGAUGUGUAGGAUAGGUGGGAGGCUUUGAAGUGUGG
rnacentral:rRNA from 1 species